rnacentral:rRNA from 1 species
CUUACGGGUGGCAGCAGUGGGGAAUAUUGCACAAUGGGCGCAAGCCUGAUGCAGCCAUGCCGCGUGUGUGAAGAAGGCCUUCGGGUUGUAAAGCACUUUCAGCGGGGAGGAAGGCGUUAAGGUUAAUAACCUUGGCGAUUGACGUUACCCGCAGAAGCAGCACCGGCUAACUCCGUGCCAGCAGCCGCGGUAAUACGGAGGGUGCAAGCGUUAAUCGGAAUUACUGGGCGUAAAGCGCACGCAGGCGGUCUGUCAAGUCGGAUGUGAAAUCCCCGGGCUCAACCUGGGAACUGCAUUCGAAACUGGCAGGCUAGAGUCUUGUAGAGGGGGGUAGAAUUCCAGGUGUAGCGGUGAAAUGCGUAGAGAUCUGGAGGAAUACCGGUGGCGAGGGCGGCCCCCUGGACAAAGACUGACGCUCAGGUGCGAAAGCGUGGGGAGCAAACAGGAUUAGAUACCCCUGUAGUC